GGCUCAGGACGAACGCUGGCGGCGUGCUUAACACAUGCAAGUCGAACGAUGAACCACUUCGGUGGGGAUUAGUGGCGAACGGGUGAGUAACACGUGGGCAAUCUGCCCUUCACUCUGGGACAAGCCCUGGAAACGGGGUCUAAUACCGGAUACAACACUCUCGGGCAUCCGAUGAGUGUGGAAAGCUCCGGCGGUGAAGGAUGAGCCCGCGGCCUAUCAGCUUGUUGGUGAGGUAAUGGCUCACCAAGGCGACGACGGGUAGCCGGCCUGAGAGGGCGACCGGCCACACUGGGACUGAGACACGGCCCAGACUCCUACGGGAGGCAGCAGUGGGGAAUAUUGCACAAUGGGCGAAAGCCUGAUGCAGCGACGCCGCGUGAGGGAUGACGGCCUUCGGGUUGUAAACCUCU
rnacentral:rRNA from 1 species